GACGAGCGGCGGACGGGUGAGUAAUGUCUGGGAAACUGCCUGAUGGAGGGGGAUAACUACUGGAAACGGUAGCUAAUACCGCAUAAUGUCGCAAGACCAAAGUGGGGGACCUUUGGGCCUCAUGCCAUCAGAUGUGCCCAGAUGGGAUUAGCUAGUAGGUGGGGUAACGGCUCACCUAGGCGACGAUCCCUAGCUGGUCUGAGAGGAUGACCAGCCACACUGGAACUGAGACGCGGUCCAGACUCCUACGGGAGGCAGCAGUGGGGAAUAUUGCACAAUGGGCGCAAGCCUGAUGCAGCCAUGCCGCGUGUGUGAAGAAGGCCUUCGGGUUGUAAAGCACUUUCAGCGGGGAGGAAGGCGUUAAGGUUAAUAACCUUGGCGAUUGACGUUACCCGCAGAAGAAGCACCGGCUAACUCCGUGCCAGCAGCCGCGGUAAUACGGAGGGUGCAAGCGUUAAUCGGAAUUACUGGGCGUAAAGCGCACGCAGGCGGUCUGUCAAGUCGGAUGUGAAAUCCCCGGGCUCAACCUGGGAACUGCAUUCGAAACUGGCAGGCUAGAGUCUUGUAGAGGGGGGUAGAAUUCCAGGUGUAGCGGUGAAAUGCGUAGAGAUCUGGAGGAAUACCGGUGGCGAAGGCGGCCCCCUGGACAAAGACUGGCGCUCAGGUGCGAAAGCGUGGGGAGCAAACAGGAUUAGAUACCCUGGUAGUCCACGCCGUAAACGAUGUCGAUUGGAGGUUGUGCCCUUGAGGCGUGGCUUCCGGAGCUAACGCGUUAAAUCGACCGCCUGGGGAGUACGGCCGCAAGGUUAAAACUCAAAUGAAUUGACGGGGGCCCGCACAAGCGGUGGAGCAUGUGGUUUAAUUCGAUGCAACGCGAAGAACCUUACCUGGUCUUGACAUCCACAGAACUUUCCAGAGAUGGAUUGGUGCCUUCGGGAACUGUGAGACAGGUGCUGCAUGGCUGUCGUCAGCUCGUGUUGUGAAAUGUUGGGUUAAGUCCCGCAACGAGCGCAACCCUUAUCCUUUGUUGCCAGCGGUUAGGCCGGGAACUCAAAGGAGACUGCCAGUGAUAAACUGGAGGAAGGUGGGGAUGACGUCAAGUCAUCAUGGCCCUUACGACCAGGGCUACACACGUGCUACAAUGGCAUAUACAAAGAGAAGCGACCUCGCGAGAGCAAGCGGACCUCAUAAAGUAUGUCGUAGUCCGGAUUGGAGUCUGCAACUCGACUCCAUGAAGUCGGAAUCGCUAGUAAUCGUAGAUCAGAAUGCUACGGUGAAUACGUUCCCGGGCCUUGUACACACCGCCCGUCACACCAUGGGAGUGGGUUGCAAAAGAAGUAGGUAGCUUAACCUUCGGGAGGGCGCUUACCACUUUGUGAUUCAUGACUGGGGUGAAGUCGUAACAAGGU
rnacentral:rRNA from 1 species